GGGUUUGGUGCAUGCAUAUGUGUUUCAAAAAUUUUAUUUUCUAAAUACUGCAGCGGAGAAUAAGAUUAAAACACUUUUAAUCUGAAUUAUGCAUACAUAAAAUCAUAAAAUCACGUAGAUCUAUCUCAUAUGCUGAAAUUGAUGUAUGCUGAAAUUGAUGUAUGCUGAAAUUCAGAUUAUGAUCAAAUUACAUACCUGUUUCACAAUCUUUUUCUUCGAAUUUGGAUCUGAAAAAGUAGAGGUUCUCUCUUAGCCGCACA
rnacentral:lncRNA from 1 species